UGGGGAAUAUUGCACAAUGGAGGAAACUCUGAUGCAGCGACGCCGCGUGGAGGAAGAAGGUCUUCGGAUUGUAAACUCCUGUUGUUGAGGACGAUAAUGACGGUACUCAACAAGGAAGUGACGGCUAACUACGUGCCAGCAGCCGCGGUAAAACGUAGGUCACAAGCGUUGUCCGGAAUUACUGGGUGUAAAGGGAGCGCAGGCGGGAAUGCAAGUUGGGAGUGAAAUCUACGGGCUCAACCCGUAAACUGCUCUCAAAACUGUAUUUCUUGAGUAGUGCAGAGGUAGGCGGAAUUCCCGGUGUAGCGGUGGAAUGCGUAGAUAUCGGGAGGAACACCAGUGGCGAAGGCGGCCUACUGGGCACCAACUGACGCUGAGGCUCGAAAGUGUGGGUAGCAAACAGGAUUAGAUA
rnacentral:rRNA from 1 species